CAGGUUUUUGCAGCUCCCACUUCCCAGUGGAAAAGUGCAGGAUUCCCAAAGACUGUUGAGCAAGAGGCUCAAAUUGUCUUCAGAUAGGGUCUAAUCUAGCUAGAACCAUUCGGGAUCCAGGAUGAAGCUGGAUCCAGUUACAGACCUCCCUGAGAAGUGAAGAGAGGUCCAGAUACACCUACAUCUCCAGCUGACACAGUCUCAAGGGCUGAGGAGAUGCUCUACAUUCUUGGGGAUUGGCUCCAGCCUGAGCCCCUGGGAUGCAAGACAGGAUGAGGUUCCAGGGCCCUCCCUCAAGGUGCGGACUUCGUGAGAAAUGGACCCACAACUCAGGAGCCGAAACAGACACACCCAGCCCGGUGACGUCCCCACCAGCCAGUGACCCGCGGCAGCCCACUCUCACUGAGAGGUUCCUGUGUACACGACCCUGUUGGGGAGCACCUGCCGACCAUGGCUGGGGGCUUGCGGAAGUCAAAUUAGGGAAGUGAGAGGAGCACAUGAGAAGUUCUGGAAGCAGGGAAGGAUGGUUGCACACAUUGAGUGAGCGUGGUGGUGGGCAGACUGUAAGAGGAGGCAAAGCUGCGGCUGGGACUUGAAAGGGAAGCAGAAUUCAAUGAGCAAACCAGAGAUGGGAGGGAGAUCUGGGCUUAGAAAAAGAGUGGAGGGACUAUGGACAAGGUGUGCUUGGGAGAGAGUGACUAUUCAGCAGAGCGGGGCUGGGGGUCCUGGGGUGGGGGACAGUGGGAAAUAGAGCAGCAAAAGUGGGUUCACAUCAGCCUUUGGAUGUUCCUGAAAGUCACGUGAGGGGUUUGGGCUGCAUUCAGAGGGGAGCUGUGGAAAAGUUUUGUUAAGGGGGGGGUCAGUAUGUAUUGAGAUCUUAUCGUGUGCCAGGGACUGUGGUAGGAACUGGGGGGCUCAACCAUGGCUAAGACCUGGUCUUUUCCCUUAGAGACUUUCUAGUCUGGGGGACAUGAGGGAUAAGAAACAGAUACAUUCAGUCAUAUAUGCUAAGUGCGGGGGUAGAAAUAUUCCCAGGCUACCGGCAGGUCUCAAGGAGUUAGAAGCUGGAACUGAGAAGAGGCAAGCAGGAUGAGCAGAAGGGCCAGGCCCCUCCAUGGCUGUCGAGGUCAUGGGCUGCCCGCCUGGCUGAAAGCUCCAUGGAAUCUCAGCUGAAAGGGUCAAUCUUACUGCCGCUAGUUAUCUCUUUGAAAUAAAUCUAUUAAUUCCUUUUGUUCUAUAGGAAGAAGAAACUUCCCCCUGGCUUCCCAAAGACCACCACCACUGCUCACACUUUGGAAAUUCUUCUGUCAAUUCAUUUUCAGUUUUUAUUUGGUUUUCACAUUGUUGUAAUCAUACCGUGUUUACAAUUUUGUAUCCCACUGCAUUUAUCAUCCUAGUGUGUAUAUGUUUCUGCAUGUUAAAUUUAUCCUGGUUAUUGCGAAGGUUCAUAUUUUUAUAUAUAUUUACACACAAAGGUCACUUCACUGGUUUUCCCUUUCUUAGCAGCAAACUUUGAAAAUGUUUCUUUUCUUUUCUUUCUCUCUCUCUCCCCCACCUCUACCCUCCCUCCUAUCCUUUCUUUUUCUAAAAAUUUCUAGUUGCCAACUCACUGCCUCCCUUCAUUUCGCAUCUUUUCCAGACUCAUGACCGAACAUCUCUUUCCAAGCUGCAAGGAGCUUUGUUAAGACAUACACCAGAGGAUUGCUCUAAGGUCUAAACUCCCCGAAGUUUUAAGCAAUUUUCUGAAGUCAUCACAAAAACCUCUCCUUAACGACGCCAACCUACAGAUCAUACCAAUCACCAAGGAGAAGCCCAAUCACUACAGCCACCGACCACAACAUAAAUCAACUCGGAGCCCCAAGAGCCUGCUCACCCUCACUCUGUCCUUAGCCCAGGCGGGUUUUUCCAUCACGUGCUUUUCCGGCAACAGGGAGCUGGGGUGCGGGGAACGCUCCGUUCCCUUUCUAAAAACUGGGACCACUUAAAAAUAUCUCCAAGCAAGCAACCAGGAUUCAGAGGAAUGCUGUUCACACCUGCAGGAGCUCAGUGCUGGGUUGCAGGCUCCUGAGUGCCCUCCAACCUGGACUGUGGCCGCGGCCCCACAUGAGCACCACAAGCAGAACCCAGAUGGAGUGGUUGUAUCUUUCACCUGGGUGGAUAACCUAGCCACAGCCCUAACUCCUUCCAAGGCCUGUUAUGAACUGAAUUGUGUCUCCUCUUCACCCGACAUCAUUCAUAUGCCACUGUCCUGACCCCGGUAACUCAGAAUGUGACAGUGUUUGGAGAUGGGGUCUCUAAGGAGGUAAUUUAUGGUUAAAUGAGGUCAUAAAGGUGGGUCCUAAUCCUAUAUGGCUGGUGUUCUUAGCGAAGGAGGGAGAGACCCCAAGGAGUUAAGGCCACGUGAGCACAAGGGGAGAAGGGCAGCCACCUACAAGCCAAGGAGCGAGGCUCUGGGAGAAAUCAACAACCUGACACCUUGAUCUUGGCCUUCUAGACUAUAUUCUGAAAAUAUAAUUCAUUCCCUAAUUUGGGUACUUACUGGACUUGGGAUUUUCUCAAAUACAUGUAAUGAUCCCAUAUCUCAAAAUAGAUCAUGGGUAUCAAACUUUAGUAUGAUUUGCUGACGUAUUUAAAUCUGUUUUUCUUUCUCCCAAAUUACCUGUUCCUGCAGUCAUGCUCUUUUAUUUGUCAAGUAUAGAUUUAAUUAUUGUCGUAUGCAGUGAGUCUCUGCUUUUUAUCAAGUUUCAUUCCUGGAGAGUUUAUGGCAAAGUGAAUGGCCUGAAAGUAGAUUAUAUUUUACCAUAGGAACAACAAUGUAACUGAGAGUUUUAUUCUUGAUUUAACAUCAAAUGAAUUCUAGAUAUGACCAUAAUAUGUCACAAAAGCAAAAACACAGCACUUUUAAACCUCUAGAAUCGAUUGCAAGAGUAAAAUUAACGUUCUG